CCUACGGGUGGCAGCAGUGAGGAAUAUUGGUCAAUGGCCGAGAGUCUGAACCAGCCAAGUAGCGUGAAGGAUGACUGCCCUAUGGGUUGUAAACUUCUUUUAUCUGGGAGUAAAAUGUUCCACGUGUGGGUGUUGGUAUGUACCUUAUGAAUAAGCAUCGGCUAACUCCGUGCCAGCAGCCGCGGUAAUACGGAGGAUCCGAGCGUUAUCCGGAUUUAUUGGGUUUAAAGGGAGCGUAGGUGGAUUGUUAAGUCAGGGGUGAAAUUUUGCGGCUCAACCGUAACAGUGCAGUUGAAACUGGCAGUCUUGAGUACAGUAGAGGUGUGCGGAAUGCGUGGUGUAGCGGUGAAAUGCUUAGAUAUCACGAAGAACUCCGAUUGCGAAGGCAGUUCACCGG
rnacentral:rRNA from 1 species